rnacentral:rRNA from 1 species
AUGGUCCCCGGAAAGCUUCCCUCACCGACCUGCGAUCGCGGGCAGAGCAAAUCUUAUGGUAUCUUCAACCACAGAAGCCCUUCGUCACACCGCGGCCACGUUAAUCAAGGAAGGCCGUCGGUGGGACCUACUCCUCUUUCCCGUCGCUUUUCGCCGCGUUUGCGCCGAGGAGACGGUGGUCACGCUGGCCCCAUGGAGUCGUCGGCGUCGCUUCAAGGUGUGAACACCGCCGCUGGCCAGCUGACUCUUCCGCAGCAAGAGAGGGGUAAGAAGCCAAGGGUGGCCGAAAAGGAGGGCGGGGGCCAGCUGGUCCCCACCGAAACCUUGUUUCGAACCACACCGUGCAGUCAGGGCCUUAGGGCUCGAACGGUGGAGAUCUUGGACAGGGCAUACGGGCUGAAGGUGUCAGACGAGAAUCUGGAUGAAUUGUGCUACAACAGGUAUGUGCAGCGCGCGCAGGAAAUCAUGUGCCGGGAAGCCAGCGAGCCGGGUUUUCCUUUGGUUGGAGGAAACCCCUUUUCAUCAAAAAAGGCUAACGAGCCGGCCGUCUCCGGCCAGCGCGUCGCGGCCAAGAUUCCCAAGGGAAAGGAGCCCGUAACACAUUAUGUACUCGAGUCAGCUGAAGUGCCAGCACCCCACAUCAACCUUAUCAUCGUGAGCGACGACGACGACGAGGAGGAGGAGGAGGCUAACAAGGUCGCCGCUGAGACCAACAAAUCCUCCGUGAACAUCGUGGAUCCUCGUGCGGCAGCAGCUGUGGCGAUUGCGCCAGUCCUUCCUGCUGCGACUUCUGCGCCGUCUCCAAUUACCCCGGCGGCCGGGAUGCCUAUGGCCUUUGCAACAGAUUCGGCUACCCGUGCUACUUAUGGCCAUGGCAAUGGCGCCGCCGGCGUCUGCGCACGUGGGAUCAAAAGGCCACACGCUCAUGAUGCAACCUUUGCACCGGCUCCGGGCGCGGGGGCGCCAGUGGCCUUUGCACCAGCUCUGGCUACCCCUGCUGCUUCCGAUCAUGGGAACAUGGGCAGGAUGGCCCAGGAACUGCAGGACAUCGAGGCCGUAUCCGCCUCCAUGGCCCGGACCCAGACGAUAUAUCGCCGCUCGGUGAGCGCCAGGUCGAACCUGCCACGGUGGGGGUGUCAGAGCCUUCGAACCCCCACGACCCGCUCGGCUCCUGCACAUUGCGGUUUGCUGAUGAAACGCAACACGACGGGGCCAGCCCCUGCCUAUGCUGGUUCCUCAUACCGUGCCCCUGCGGCUAACAUAAGCAGCUCCGCUCCCGGUUCUUCAUCCCGUGCCCCUCCUGCUAAAAUCACCAGCUUCGCUCCGGGCUCCUCAUUCCGUGCCCUUCCUGCUAACAUCAGCAGCUCCGCCCCUCCUGCUAACAUCAGCAGCUUCGCUCAGGGCUCCUCAUCCCGUGCCCCUCCUGCUAAAAUCACCAGCUUCCCUCUGGGCUUCUCAUCCCGUGCCCCUCCUGCUAAAAUCAUCAGCUCUGCUCCGGACUCCUCAUUCCCUGCCCCUCCUGCUAACAUCAGCAACUCCGCUCCGGGCUCCUCAUCCCGUGCCCCUCAUGCUAAAAUCACCAGCUCUGCUCUGGGCUCCUCAUCCCGUGCCCCUCCUGCUAAAAUCAGCAGCUCCGCUCCGGGCUCCUCAUUCCGUGCCCUUCCUGCUAACAUCAGCAGCUCCGCUCCAAGCUCCUCAUCCUGUGCCUCUCCUGUUAACAUCAGCAGCUCCGCUCCGGGCAUGGCUACGCCGGAGCAAGGGAACGGGAAUCGUGGCUUCAUCCGCCUCUUCGGCGUCAACAUUGCCCAGCAGGAGUAG